UCGCCAUCGUGCCGUGCGUCUCCGGUCGAUGUCUUUGGUUAGCUAUCACCGUCCAGUUGUCUGGGUCGCCGUCAUCACGUACCCGUAACUCUGAGUCGCAGUAGGGUGGGUGAGAUAGAGAUCUAUGGUUGCCAUGAGAGGUGAUUCAGUUCUCCCAACCCAGUCCUCCACAUAUUCUUGUUUGGGUACUUUGACACAAGCAGAGUUCGGGCCUCGUGGGUGGAUCUGUGUCAGGCCAUCAUCUCAGUGAAAAUUAUUCUUGGAGCAUGGGAAACGGGAAAGAACAACCAUCUACGCAAACAUCAUCUAGCUCAAAUCCUCCAUCUGUGGUAUGUUAUAUCAUUUAUUGCUUUGUUUUUAUUAUCACCAGGGUGUGCCACAAAGCACAGCUUUUGAAUUACUAGAU